rfam:Roseovarius azorensis strain DSM 100674 genome assembly, contig: Ga0131273_105
UUCUGAGCGCGUGUUUCAUCACGAUAUUGGGAAAGCUCACGCCUUUGAGGCGUGCGGUGCGGAUAUAUUGCGCAGUCAUCACCUCGGCCAUGCUGGCGCGUGUCAUCCGCGCGAUAUAGCCCAUGCCGUAAAGCGCAAUGGUCAAAACCGGCAGAAAGAAAUUCUCGAACGUGGCCUGG